CUUCCUGGUUUCUUUUAAAUGGCCCCAGGUUCUCCCAGCUCCACACACGGCCUCAGGAAUGACUGCAGCUAGUCAAGGUGCAGCGCUGAGCGCUAAAGGGGACCAGUCAUAGAGCUCCCACCCCACCGGUGCAGCACCCACCAUGCGCGGCUGCACAGAGUGCAAUUCCCAGGUGUUCACGUGUUGCUGCAGUGAAGACGGUCGGGGGGAAGCAGCGUUCAUAAAGAGGAGCGUUCCCUCAGGGAGGUUCUUCUUUUCAACUUUCUCAGAAAUGAGGAAGACGUUGAAGAAGGUUUCUUGGUGAGAUGUGAGUUCACGGGUUCCGCCCAGCAGACGCUUCUGAAGACAAAGAAGAGGAAGUUUGACAUUCAGCCGCUUCCAGCGUCUAAUGGACACCCAGUAAAAACGCACCAAAUACUAAAUGAAGAUCAGACUCCAAGAGCAGAGCCGUUGUGAAUGGAUCCAUUCCUCAAUUAUAAUGGAUGAUACAAACAGAUGGAAACAGGAAGCUUCUUUGUCUUGAGCAGAAUCUGCGAGUCAUCCACCGAGCAGAAGUCAUCAACAUCUGUUGGCAAAGCUGUCGUGGGGACGCUCUCGCUGCUGGUUCCCCCUGAAGGAGUUCCUCUUUGACAUUAAAGACUCAUCCAAGUCAUUUACAUCUUAAUCACAUCUUAAUGACGCAUAAUAAAGAAUCCUCUUCAGGCCGAA